AAAUACAACGUACAACAAUAAUUCCUAGCUUCAGUGAAACAACAGUCAAACCCGCCAACCCAUUCGGCCGAAAUCCAUCCAAAUCAACCCAUUUUCCCCCGAUUCCCCUUAUCUCACCCCACAUCCAACCCGUUUUCUACUUCCUCUUCACAGUCACGUGCUCUCCCACACGAUUUUGAUACGAAAUCUUUUAGAAAGAGGGUAAGGUGUUACCCCCAACGUCCGAAUUCUAUGAUUUUCGGGAUAACGCAUAUGGAUUCGUACCUGUUUGGCAAAUUUUUGUUGGUUCUUGGGAAAAUGAUCCAUUUUCCCCAAUGGUUGUUUGCCAUCUGUUGAAAAUCCGAUCAAGAAAAUCAAUAGGGGUACAAUUUGUGAGCAUUCUCCUCUUUUGAAUUCAAAAAACGAACCCUCAAACCCCCCUUUUAUAAAUAGCUCUCUUUAAGGUCUGAACCAAAAAAAAAUAAUUUCUUUUGGACAAUUUUUCUUUCUUUUGGGGACUGUUACUAGGCUUUUAGGUUAAAAAUUAGGGUUUCAAAAAGGGAAAAAUCUUCUGAGUAAGUUUCUGAUUUCGAAAACAGAGAGAGGAAAAAUUUUUGAAUUUUUUUUAAUGAAUUCAAGUUGAAAGUCUUAGUUGAAAAUCUGGGAGGUUUCAAAAUUUCUAAGAGGAAAAAGCAAACGAAUGCUCUGUUGGUGGUCGACGUCGCGAGAUUCUAGUAGCGACAAGUUUGCUGAUAGCUCGUCAUCCCGUUUGCUGCCCCGGAGGAGGUUCUAGGGUUGGGAAAAUCUGAAGAAGGAAAAAUCUUUUCUGAGCUGUCUGGGUUUGAGUAAAGAAACCUCUCUUCGAAAACCUUCUAGUGGUGGUGGUUGAGCUUUUGUUAUAAGUUUGAGUCCCGUUUUACUGCCCCGAAAGAGCCACUUGAUGGUACUUUGUUUGUUGCUACUGCUGGAUUGUGUCACCAUUGUUGAGCUAGCAACGUUGCUAGCAGAUCUACCUCUUAGGUUUCUUUGGCUUCUUGUGUGCCAAAAGGAUAAUGAGCAAGGUCCAAAAGCGUGUUAGAAAGUCCUGGGAUUCCUCAAUGAUCGCUUCGUUUGAAUCUGUCGUAAGGAGGAGGAGGAGGGGGAGGAUUUGAAUCAGAGUCGUCCUUGCUGAAGAAUGUAGUAUUUUUCUUGUCUCCUUUCAUGGCACAAAUAGUAUAGAAAAUGCUCAUUGUUUUAUGAAGGAAUAAGUGUUGAUAGUAUUGCUGCAAUUUCUGUGUUAUGAAGCCCCUCUCGGAUAAUUCAAUUAGUUUGAUUUUCAUAUAUAUUAAAGAUUUCAAUAUGCGAA